rnacentral:rRNA from 1 species
CAAUAGCGUAUAUUUAAGUUGCUGCAGUUAAAAAGCUCGUAGUUGGAUUUCGGGUGGGAAUGGCCGGUCCGCCGUUUCGGUGUGCACUUGCUACGCCCACCUUGCUGCCGGGGACGUGCUCUUGAGUUCACGCUCGGGACACGGAGUCGGCGAGGUUACUUUGAGUAAAUUAGAGUGUUCAAAGCAGGCCUACGCUCUGAAUACAUUAGCGUGGAAUAACACGAUAGGACUCUGGCCUAUCUUGUUGGUCUGUAGGACCGGAGUAAUGAUUAAGAGGGACAGUCGGGGGCAUUCGUAUUUCAUUGUCAGAGGUGAAAUUCUUGGAUUUAUGAAAGACGAACUACUGCGAAAGCAUUUGCCAAGGAUGUUUUCAUUAAC